rnacentral:rRNA from 6 species
CGGCGAGUGAAGCGGCAACAGCUCAAAUUUGAAAUCUGGCUCCUUUGGGGUCCGAGUUGUAAUUUGUAGAGGGUGCUUUGGCGUUGGUUGUGGUCUAAGUUCCUUGGAACAGGACGUCACAGAGGGUGAGAAUCCCGUACGUGGCCGCCAGCCUUCGCCGUGUAAAGCCCCUUCGAUGAGUCGAGUUGUUUGGGAAUGCAGCUCUAAAUGGGAGGUAAAUUUCUUCUAAAGCUAAAUAUUUGCCAGAGACCGAUAGCGCACAAGUAGAGUGAUCGAAAGAUGAAAAGCACUUUGGAAAGAGAGUCAAAAAGCACGUGAAAUUGUUGAAAGGGAAGCGCUUGCAGCUAGACGUGCCUUGGGUUGAUCAGCCGGACUUUUGCCCGGUGCACUCUUCCUUUGGCAGGCCAGCAUCAGUUUGGGCGGCUGGAUAAAGGUCUGUUAAACGUGACUUCCUUCGGGGAGAGCUUAUAGGGCAGACGACAUGCAGCCAGCCUGAACUGAGGUCCGCGCAUCUGCUAGGAUGCUGGCAUAAUAGCUGUAAGCGGCCCGUCUUGAAACACGGACCAAGGAGUCUAACAUCUAUGCGAGUGUUUGGGUGUCAAGCCCGAGCGCGUAAUGAAAGUAAACGGAGGUGGGAACCUUUUAGGUGCACCAUCGACCGAUCUUGAUGUCUUCGGAUGGAUUUGAGUAAGAGCAUAGCUGUUGGGACCCGAAAGAUGGUGAACUAUGCCUGAAUAGGGUGAAGCCAGAGGAAACUCUGGUGGAGGCUCGCAGCGGUUCUGACGUGCAAAUCGAUCGUCAAAUUUGGGCAUAGGGGCGAAAGACUAAUCGAAC